ACCAGUUGCCCUUCUCUCUUCUGUAACUCAUCUUCUUCUUCUCCGAUUCACUUUCCAGAACCAUAGGAACGUUCGUCCUGCUGUGAUCUUUCAUUUGGACCGAACAGAACUUGGAUCGGAACUGAUUUACGUGGGAACUGUUGAGCGAAGCCUGGGUGUAAGACGUGGUUAGAGGAAAACCUAAAAUCUUGUUAUUGGAAGUUCACUGCUAUCCAGAUGGUGGUGCAUCCCUUGAGCAAAUGCUGGAAGAAGAAAAUUUGGAUGAAACAAAUCUGGUGGAAGUUGAUGUGAAGGCCGAGCCUUAGAGCGCUCGUUAGAAUAGAUCUGUG